rnacentral:rRNA from 1 species
GUGUCAGCAGCCGCGGUAAUACGAAGGGUGCAAGCGUUAGUCGGAAUUACUGGGCGUAAAGCGUGCGUAGGUGGUUUCUUAAGUCGGAUGUGAAAGCCCUGGGCUCAACCUGGGAAUGGCACUCGAUACUGGGAAGCUAGAGUGCGGUAGAGGAGGGUGGAAUUCCCGGUGUAGCGGUGAAAUGCGUAGAGAUCGGGAGGAACAUCAGUGGCGAAGGCGACCCUCUGGACCAGCACUGACGCUGAGGCACGAAAGCGUGGGGAGCAAACAGGAUUAGAUACCCUGGUAGUCC